rnacentral:rRNA from 1 species
UACAGAGGUCUCAAGCGUUGUUCGGAUUCAUUGGGCGUAAAGGGUGCGUAGGUGGCGAGGUUAGUCAGGUGUGAAAUCUCGGGGCUCAACCCCGAAACUGCACUUGAUACUGCCUUGCUAGAGUACUGGAGAGGAGAUUGGAAUUUACGGUGUAGCAGUGAAAUGCGUAGAUAUCGUAAGGAAGACCAGUGGCGAAGGCGAAUCUCUGGACAGUUACUGACACUGAGAGACGAAAGCUAGGGGAGCGAAUGGG